UGUGUGUGUGUGUCUGUCUGUCUGUGUGUCUGUUCCAGCUGUAACUGCAUGCUCAACGGUUGCAAUGCGACGAAAACUAAAAGCUUCUAUAGGCUUCUAGCCACGUUCUUUUGGAUUUUGAUUUGUGGAUUUAGCAUUAAAGCUUCUUUCUCGAGUUAUGGCUAGUUAAAUAAAAAAUUAUUUAUAUAGCCAGAGCACUCUCAAAGGUGCUCCACAUUUAUUAAAGCAUAAGCAAGUGACAUGUGCAUUCCUAGCUGUCACAUCGUACAUCAUUUUCACAAUUAGCACGUACCUGCUGAAGCGUUGUCAGAGCAAAUUGAAGAGGUAAGGUUGGUACUGUAUCCCAAUUCCAGUAUCCAAAAACUGUUCCCAUUUGAAAUAAGAAUCAUCGGACAACCAAAUAGAGUCUAAUUAUGUUCUAGAAUCUAGGACAGAUAUUAACAUUCGACAAACAUGACUGCUGGUAGGUGAUUCUUGUGCAGAGGUGGCUAUGGAACAAUUUACUUGUUAGCUUGGGACACUGCGAGGUAAACAAAGGAGAAAAUUAGCAAUUGCAGUCAAAUAAUAAGUCUAGAAUAAAUCAUACCCCCUCAUUAUAAUUAUUUUUGAGUGCAGAUCUUAACAUAGAUCUACCUUCUAUAAAUGGUACGGUCAGUGCUGACAGCAAGUUGAUACGUGGUUGUCCUAAAAGAGUAGCUAUGUACUAGCUAUAAUUAAUUAUAUCUAUCUAGAUAACAGACAGCUGCAUGUAGCUGGACAAGUUUGCAACAUCAUAGCUAUAGCAACACCAUGUGCAGCUGGCAAGAAUAUAGCUAGUUCAGCUCAAUUAAGCAAGCUGAAAAUAUUAUACAGUGAAGCUUUUGUGGCAGCUACUCUUCCCACAAGUGAGAAAUGGGUCAUCACUCCUUCAUCCAAGCAGAAGGUGGCACCCUAGUCGAGUCACGUCACAUCUCCAACAACAAGUGAGACCAUGGUUUCUUGAAACCAGGGAAAACUGAUUUACCUACUCUGAAAGGAGAAGAGUUGUUCUCUUUUGCUGGCAUGAAUAUGAUAUUAAGAAGACAUUCAAUCACCGAUUUCAAAAAGGCAAAGAAGAACGAUGCACAUGCAUGCUAAAGAAGAAGAAAAAGAAAUGGGAGCACACAUCGACACAAAAAAAUUGGUUUAAAGGACAUCCUUAUUCAAAACUGUGGCGAGCCACCUAAACACAUCAUUUGCUCAUUUGCUAAAGAAGGUGGACAAGCAAUUUGUCAAUGAAGACAAUGACAUAAAUAGAUGACAUAAUUGUACAGUGGACAAAAAGUCCGCAGAGGUUCAAUGGCCGGUUUUGAAGAUGAAAAAGAUGAAAAAUUUGACUCUGACUAACUAUACUAGUGAAAAAAGAACGAUAUUUAACAUCUGUAAAACUAUUAUUAUCCCGCUGUCCUAAAAUGGGACAUUUAUCGAUGUAUUCUGACAACGUGCAAUUAUACAGCAAAUAUUACACAAAUGUUAGCAUCUUAGAACCUAUU